AAUGAACGUUGGCGGCGUGGAUUAGGCAUGCAAGUCGUGCGGAAAGGCUCCUUCGGGAGUACUCGAGCGGCGAAAGGGAGAGUAACGCGUGGAUAUCUACCCCCUGGCCUGGGAUAGCGGCGGGAAACUGCCGGUAAUACCAGAUAAUGUCUGCGGACCCAAGGUGUUAUUCCGGCGGGGGAUGAGUUCGCGUCCUAUUAGCUAGUUGGUAGGGUAAUGGCCUACCAAGGCACAAAUGGGUACCGGGUGUGAGAGCAUGGCCCGGCUCACUGGGACUGAGACACUGCCCAGACACCUACGGGUGGCUGCAGUCGAGAAUCUUCGGCAAUGGGCGCAAGCCUGACCGAGCGACGCCGCGUGCGGGAUGAAGGCCUUCGGGUUGUAAACCGCUGUCAGAGGGGAGGAAAUGCGUAGGAGUUCUCUCUUACGUUUGACCUAUCCUCAGAGGAAGUACGGGCUAAGUUCGUGCCAGCCGCCGCAGUAAUAC
rnacentral:rRNA from 1 species